rnacentral:rRNA from 1 species
UAGGGAAUCUUCCGCAAUGGGCGAAAGCCUGACGGAGCAACGCCGCGUGAGUGAUGAAGGUCUUCGGAUCGUAAAACUCUGUUAUUAGGGAAGAACAAAUGUGUAAGUAACUAUGCACGUCUUGACGGUACCUAAUCAGAAAGCCACGGCUAACUACGUGCCAGCAGCCGCGGUAAUACGUAGGUGGCAAGCGUUAUCCGGAAUUAUUGGGCGUAAAGCGCGCGUAGGCGGUUUUUUAAGUCUGAUGUGAAAGCCCACGGCUCAACCGUGGAGGGUCAUUGGAAACUGGAAAACUUGAGUGCAGUAGAGGAAAGUGGAAUUCCAUGUGUAGCGGUGAAAUGCGCAGAGAUAUGGAGGAACACCAGUGGCGAAGGCGACUUUCUGGUCUGUAACUGACGCUGAUGUGCGAAAGCGUGGGGAUCAAACAGG